GUGCACCAGUCGCGAAAACUUUACAAUGUGCGAAAGCACGAUAAGGGAACUCUGAGUGCCUCCUAAGGAGGCUGUUCAGGUGUCUAAAAAGCACCUGAAGGAAGGGCUGGGUAAGACCGGUGCCAGCCGCCGCGGUAACACCGGCAGCCCAAGUGGUAGCCACGUUUAUUGGGUCUAAAGCGUCCGUAGCCGGCUGGGUAAGUUCCUUGGGAAAUUUGGCUGCUUAACAGUCAAGCUUUCAGGGAAUACUGCCCGGCUUGGGACCGGGAGAGGUCAGAGGUACUCCAGGGGUAGGGUGAAAUCCAUUAAUCCUUGGGGGACCACCGGUAGCGAAGGCGUCUGACCAGACCGGGUCCGACGGUGAGGGACGAAGGCU
rnacentral:rRNA from 1 species